rnacentral:misc_RNA from 1 species
GGCACCGGCGGUGUAGCUGAUACGGUGGAGCGUUCGCUUCGCAUGCGAGAGGCACGGGGUUCGAUUCCCUGCACCUCCGUGCCGUUUUCAGUUUUAGCCUUUCGUCCUUCCUUUUUGAAAGCGAACUUGUGCCCCACAGUCUGUACACUCUUUUUCACUGGCCACUGGCCAAGUUGUCAGUGAAUUCGUGAUAUUGUAUUAAAGGAAAACGAUGGCUCAUUGAAUCAUACAAAAAUGACUAGCUAAGAAAGAUAAGGUAUAAAGAAUGAAUUUCAAAGAAUUGAUUUGAUCCACCUGCUGAAUCCAAAAGGUCUAAGAAAGAAUCUCUCUUCUCUACUUGGCUGCCCAUGCAACUGCAUCUAUCUCUGCUUGGGCACUUCUGUACAAUUCCAGUCUCUUCGCAAGGGAGGUACGUCGCUGCAUCACUGCUGGAUCCUCGUCCAACAAAGAAGACAACUGUUUUGUCUCUUUCUUACCCAACUCUGCAAAGAAAUAAUCAAGUAAACUGCGUUUUGCUUCCCUCACUUGACUAUAGACAACAGACUUGGGAAUAGAAUUUCUCAAACUUGCACAAACCAUGUUCACGUACGACAGUACAUUGCUUCCUGUAAGUUGAUAAUAACACAAAUAAAAAAAUCAACAUGUUAAAAAUUCUAGGAUCAUGGACCACCACAGUGCACCAAUCAGGAUGGAGAAACACUGCAUGUUUCAUUAUCCAAGUUGAUUUGCUGGUUCUUCCAUUUUUAUUCCCUAUCUCUUUUUUCUUUCUUUAACAAAUGGAUGACCUUACACCCUCCACUAACCACUCGAUACCACUUAUCCCGAGCAAGAUAUCAUGGGUUCAGAACUCCCAAGCAUAUAGCAGUCCCUUAAUUGGGCGUCUUUGAGGCAAGCCAUACCUUACUCUAAAUUAAACAUGCAGCUCAGAUGUUCUAUUGACAAGGUUGCUUCUAGCCACUUACCAACUCGCCUAAGAUAAGAAUCAUUAUAUCGGUCAAAAAUUGAAUGUGCAGGAUUUCCACCCUUCUCAACAUCUUGAGGAAGUUUCCGGAAAAAUUCCACAGUCAAGUAACAACACUCCAUAUCGACUAGCUGUAAAGUUGCUUUCUUGCUUUCUUCCCUCAUCCGCUCCAAUGAUUCAAUAGCUGCAUUGCUGACUUCCACUCUCAGAGUAGGAUACUGCUUUAGUUCCAAGGUCUCACUGAUAGACUUUUGAACUAGCUCCUUCAGUAUAGCAUGGACCGCAUCUACAGCUGCCUCAGCAGGAGCUCUGAUAGUUACCAGAGUAGAUUCAAUAAGACGGCGAUAACCUUGCUCAGGAGCUAUUAGAUGUGGCUGAUAUCCAUCAGCUUCACAUAUUAGCUUUCUUACAUUGUCCAUUGAAAGGUGUUUAUCAAAUUGCAACCUCUUGAGAGCAGCAGGUAACUGAUUAUCGAACACAAGAUAGAUUUUCUCACCACCAGAACGUAUUCCAUCAAGACGUUCUUUAAAUAUUUGAUCAAAAGAACGGCAAAUUUCCAUUAUCAUGUAUAAUUUUCCCCCAGCAUCAGUAGCAACGGGCUUCCCAAGACGACUCAAUUCUGAUUCUAGUUCAGCAAUAGUUUUGUUGAUAAGAGACUGAAGGCCAGGAAUUCGAGACUUGAUGACUUGUUCCAAAUGCUUAGAAAGCAUCUUUCCUAAAUGCUCAGAGCCCAUCCUUUGAGCAAGAUGCCGGUACUCAGGGCUACUUUGAAAAUAUUCCCUCUCUCUACGACGAGCAGCAAUCAUGUCCACACUUUUGUUGAUAUCAGCCUGAGAGCGGUUAACAACACCAAUCCAAGGGAACUGUAGCUUAUAUGAUCUUCCUUCCAAGAUAUCAACUGCAUCAGUACCCUUGUCCAUGAGAUCAAUCUUCGUCAAAACUCCAAAGGUUCGCUCCCCUUUGGGGUCAACUUCACGAGAUAUCUUAAUCGCAUCUGACGUAGCAAGAUCCUGAUUGGCAGGAGAAAUUGCCAGAAUAAUACAGUUGGGCUUCUCAAUAUAUGACCGGAUCAUGUUCUCAAUGUCCAUCACAAUACUUUCU